GCUGGAAUAACUCAAAGGUAGAGUACACGUUCUGUAAUCGCGUCGUUGCGGGUUCAAUUCCUUGCUUCCAGCUCCA
rnacentral:tRNA from 1 species